rnacentral:rRNA from 1 species
CUCUCCUGGAAACGGGUGGUAAUGCCGGAUGCUCCAGUUGAUCGCAUGGUCUUCUGGGAAAGCUUUCGCGGUAUGGGAUGGGGUCGCGUCCUAUCAGCUUGACGGCGGGGUAACGGCCCACCGUGGCUUCGACGGGUAGCCGGCCUGAGAGGGCGACCGGCCACAUUGGGACUGAGAUACGGCCCAGACUCCUACGGGAGGCAGCAGUGGGGAAUAUUGCACAAUGGGCGCAAGCCUGAUGCAGCGACGCCGCGUGAGGGAUGGAGGCCUUCGGGUUGUAAACCUCUUUUAUCGGGGAGCAAGCGAGAGUGAGUUUACCCGUUGAAUAAGCACCGGCUAACUACGUGCCAGCAGCCGCGGUAAUACGUAGGGUGCAAGCGUUAUCCGGAAUUAUUGGGCGUAAAGGGCUCGUAGGCGGUUCGUCGCGUCCGGUGUGAAAGUCCAUCGCUUAACGGUGGAUCCGCGCCGGGUACGGGCGGGCUUGAGUGCGGUAGGGGAGACUGGAAUUCCCGGUGUAACGGUGGAAUGUGUAGAUAUCGGGAAGAACACCAC